rnacentral:rRNA from 1 species
UACGUAGGGGGCAAGCGUUGUUCGGAAUUACUGGGCGUAAAGGGCGCGUAGGCGGCACAGCAAGUCGAGAGUGAAAGCCCGGGGCUCAACCCCGGAAUGGCUUUCGAAACUGCUGAGCUAGAGUACAGAAGGGGCAACCGGAAUUCCCAGUGUAGCGGUGAAAUGCGUAGAUAUUGGGAAGAACACCUGAGGCGAAGGCGGGUUGCUGGGCUGAUACUGACGCUGAGGCGCGAAAGCCAGGGGAGCAAACGGG